rnacentral:rRNA from 1 species
UUGGAGGGCAAGUCUGGUGCCAGCAGCCGCGGUAAUUCCAGCUCCAAUAGCGUAUAUUAAAGUUGUUGUGGUUAAAAAGCUCGUAGUAGAAGCUCGGGCUCCGGCCGACCGGUCCGCCUCACCGCGUGCACUGGUUCGGCCGGGCCUUCACCUUCUGCGGAACCGCAUCUCCUUCACUGGGGGUGUCGGGGAAACAGGGCGUUUACUGUGAAAAAAUUAGAGUGCUCCAGGCAGGCCUAUGCUCGAAUAGAUUAGCAUGGAAUAAUGGAAUAGGACGUGUGGUCUUAUUUCGUUGGUUUCUAGGACCGCCGUAAUGAUUAAUAGGGACAGUCGGGGGCAUCAGUAUUCAAUCGUCGGAGGUGAAAUUCUUGGAUCGAUUGAAGACUAACUACUGCGAAAGCAUUUGCCAAGGAUGUUUUCAUUUAUCAGGAACGAAAGUUAGGGGAUCGAAGACGAUCAGAUACCGUCGUAGUCUUAACCAUAAACUAUGCCGACUAGGGAUCGGACGGUGUUAUUUCUUGACCCGUUCGGCGCCUUACGGGAAAC